UAUUAUGGAAAUAUAAAGCCAUGUGUUAAAGAGAAAUUUGUUAUCUUAUGGAAACAUAUAAACUCUAAGAUAAAUUACUUGAUAAACGAAGCGAAUUGAAAUAUCUAAGUAGCUUCAGGAAAAGAAAUCAAAAGAGAUUUUAUGAAUAGUGUGAACGAAAAUAAAAUAGCCUAUUAAUAAGUAAAAUGGUAGAAAAACUGUUUGAAAAAUAAAUGUCAAUUAGUUUUAUUAUUAAGACUAACUCUGGGGAACCUUCCUCAAAGGCUAAAUAUAACACAUGAGCAUCAGAGAAUUAGUACCGUAAGGGAAUUAUUGAAAUAGUAGUUUUAUAAGCAGCUCGAGUUGUAUUUGAAAACAAGAGCGUACCUUUUGCAUAAUGGGUCACCAAGUUAACAUUAGAUGCGAGCUAAUUAGUAUUGCGUAGUUAAAACGAUCAUAAUGUAACAGAAAAUGAUAAGUGUCUAAAGUUAGACCCGAAGCCUAGUGAUCUUACUAUAGUCAGGGCUAUAAAGGCUCGAACGGGUUAUUGUUGCAAAAAUAUCCGAUGAACUAUGGUAAGCAUAGUGAAAGACAAUUCUGACUAGGAUAGCUGGUUUUCUGCGAAACCUAUAAUAGUAGGCAAUUUAAGUAACAUCAAAGCAGGUACAGAACUUAAUCUCAGACCAGAUGUAAAUUUUCAGCAAGAGUAUUUACGUACUCUUUGAAAAUACAUUAUUCAAUGGUACAUAUCGGGGGAUCGUGAAGAUUUUAUCGGUGAGUAUGUAGACUCGGAAUGGCUUAGAUGGAUCUUGAAUGAUCAGACAUAGAAUGAUAAGGUUGUAUGUCAAAAGGGAAACAGCCCAGAACAAAAGUUAAGGUUCCAAAAUUAUUGUUAAGUGAAAUUAAGAAGGUUUUUAUUUGAGUCGACAAGGAGAUGGGCUUAGAAGCAGCCAUAAUUUGAAGACCUCGUAAUAGAGCGCUCGUUAAAUCUUUAAAAGCAUCGAAAAUUUAACGGAUCUAAACAAUAUACCGAAACUUUGUCCUCAUUUAAACAUAAUUUUUAUUAUUGUUAUUUGCAGGGGUAGCAGAACGUUGGGUUAUAUUAGAUUUGAUAUUUUUUAAAUUCAAAUAAAAAAAACUCAAGUGAUAAUGGUGACAUGAGUAACGAAAAAGAUCCGGUACGAGGAGUAUUCGGAACUCGCCUAAAGCUUAUGGCUGAGGUAAAGCGGCCUCUAAGUUUAUAACCUGAAGGUUAAAACGAUGAGUAAUUCUUAUUACUAAACAACAUUUUCUAAGUAAAGUAAAAUAAAAUAAGUAAAUAUAUUUACUUACUUUUUAAGUGGGAAAUGUACUGGAAAAAUUAGUAUAGCUAUUCUUAAGUUGUACCUUGAAACUUAUUUUUUGGGGGAAGCUGUAUUUGUUUAUAACAGGUAAGUGUUGGCAUACUUAUAGGUUAUUUGCAAAUAAUUUUACCUUUACAAAAGACGGGUUUACUACCUGCCUUUUGAUAGAGGAAGCUUGAAGAAGUGAUAUCUUAAAAUAUAAGAUAUGAAAUAAAGGAUAGACAGACCGUACCUAAAGACUGCCACACAAGUAAGCUAGUAGAGAAUACGAAGGCGUAAGAGAUAACAAUCAUAAAGGAACUCGGCAAAUUGAUACCAAAACUUCGGGAAAAGGUAGGCUCAUUAGUCUUGGUUAAUACAAGUAAAAAGGAAGAAGCAUAAAAGGAUGUUGUACGACUGUUUAAUUAAAACACAGCACUUUGCAAAAAGAUGAUAAAUCUAAGUAUUGAGUGUGAUACCUGCCCGGUGCCGGCUGGUUAACGGAAAUAACUAAAUUGUCAUAGGUUUGGUGUAGAAGGAAACCCCGGUUAAUGGCGGCCUUAUUCUGAGGGUCCUAAGGUAGCGGAAUACCUUGGCCGUUAAAUGCGGUCUUUGCAUGAAUGGUGUAACGAUACAACAGCUGUCUCUAUGAUUGACUCUGUGAAAUUGGAAUAACUGUGCAGAUACAGUUUACCUCUAGUUGGACGAGAAGACCCUAUGCAGCUUUACUGUUACUAAUUAUUGAGUAUAAUAACAGCAAAUUUUAGUAAAUAAGGUAAUUGAUUAGAUAGAAGUGAAAUACCUUUAUUUGUUUAUUAUAUUAUUAUGGAAUAAUACUUUAUGUAUUAUAAACAUCCCACUCUAUGAAAAGGGAGAACAUUUGCUAGGAGACAGUUUAUGCGGGGCACAGACCCCAUAAAGAGUAGAUGGGAGUGUCUAAGGAUUAUGAUGUUUGUCGCAAUGUGUUCGAGAAUUUUUCGAUCGCUUGCUGCAAUUAAUUUUUGUAUAUCUAAAUAAAAAGAUAAAUUUUGUUUGUAGUUAAAUAUAACUUCGUUAUAUUUAAUCCUUUGCUAGUACGAGACGUAUAAGGGCGUACAUAUUAUUAAAAGGGUAAGAUUUUAGCUAUGGAGAAAUUAGCUUUAGUCAAAAAAGUGUUAUGCAAUAUAACACUUUUUCUAGUUAUUAGUUUCUACUUUACAGUGUUUUUAAUAAUAAUGUAAACUAAUUAUCAAGUUUAACGGCUUAAUCUUGCUUUACUGUUUGAUUCACAACAAAUCUUACAGUCGCGUAAGCGGGGCAUAGGAUCACAAGACACAUUAAGGAAAGGUCUUGGAUUAUUGGAAAAGCUACGCUAGGGAUGUUUGUCCUUUAAUUUUUUUUCUUGUUCUCGUCUACUUCUAUUUUGCUAAGUCCCGAACUUCGUUCGGGACUCAGCAAGCUCGACUUUAUAGGAAGCAUUCACUCUUCGUAUCCGAAGGAUCGAGCUUGCGCGAUUUUCUUCGAAAAUACCAGAGGGGAAAAAACAUAUUUUUUAUUUUUUCUGCCUUCGUACGAAGUCGGCAGGCUUAUUUAAUAGCUAUCCUCAGCUGCUCUACUUCUCCUACUGAUCCCGAACUUCGUUCGGAAUACACUAGUGUAGAAGUAUGCAUAGGAGGAAUAGGAAUAAUAGAUAAGAGAUAAAGACUAGCAAGAAAACGAUUAAGAAUAAUAUUGGGUUAAUUUCAAAGAUUACUUAUAUUAAAGGAUUCGCCGGAUCCGUAACUUCUGACUACGAAGUCAGUAUACGGAGGCUUCGCCUAAUCCUUUCUAUCCUGACGAAGUCAGGAUACAGUAUAAGUAAAUUUGAAGCGAAAUUUAUCUUAGCGACCUGACCCCUUUGGGGGGGUAUGGCGGCUAAUAAAAAAAAUAGACAUUUUUUUAUAUAGCUCGUAUUUAAAGAUAAAAACGUUCAACGACUAAUAGGUGAGUAAUGCUAACAAUAAUCCUAUCUUGAAACCCAACACUUUUUUAUUAUAUAUGUUCAAAAACAAAAGAAAAUGAAAUAAGAGGCCGGAGGCCCUAAAAUAUUACUAUAAUGAAAACAAUGAAAAAAAAUCAAAAUAUAUUAGAAAAUGCUCGCUACGUUGGUCCCCUAUCACUCAAAGAUUCGCCUUCGUAUCCCGAACUUCGUUCGGGAUCAGGAUCAGGCUGAAGAGAAGGGACUACAAUUUUAAAAACAAAUGUAAAGAAUAAUUCUAAAUUGAGACCAUUUAAUAGAAUAAUGGGUGAUGUAGGAAAGAUGCAAUACUUUCCUGCAUGAUCUAAAGAAUGAAGAAAUAGUGUUUACCAUUAUAAUAGCAAUUUAAUCAAGAAUUUUCCGGUAUAUGAUAUAAAUAUUUAUAAAAUAAUAAAAAGCUAUUUUAAUAUGUUUUUUAAUCAUCAAUUUCUUAAAAAUGAUUAUAUUCGUCCUAAAAGAAGACGUUUAUCUUUUAAUAAAAUUUUUUUAGCUAGACCCGAAAUUAAACAUACUAACUCUAAAGCUAUUAUAACUUUAUAUGCUUUUAAUAGAGAAAAGUUUGCUUUAUUAAAAAAAAUCAAAAUUUUAACUAAAUUAACUAAAAAGAUAAUUAAAUUUGUUCAACGAAAAAACUGUUUAUUAAAGAUAGAAAAUAUUUUUUUUAAAUUUAAUAUGAUUUUUGCGAUAUUCAAAAAUAGAAAUCUACUUCAAGAUUUUUAUGCUUAUUAUUCUACUUUAAAAACAAGUAAAAGCAAGGCAAAAGAACAAGCAAAUAAAUGAAUAAAAUUGAUUUUUAAGAAAGAACUUUCUUUAAUUAGAAAAUAUAAAUUUAGAUUAAAUCUUAAUAAGUAUAAAUUUGAAGAUAAAUUAUUACAUGGAUUAAGUAAUAUUAUAAGAAAGCUUUAUAAUAAAGAAAUAGAAUUUAAUAUUGUUAAUUUAAAAAAUAUAGUUUUUAAUACAGAUUUAUUUACAGAAAUAUCUACAUUAAAAAUUAAGAAAAGAAAUGCUAAAGUUGUAAGAAUAAUGAACAUUAUGUUAAAUAAAGCUAACUUACCUUACUUGAACAGAAUCCAGGAAACAGGUAGAUUGGAUAACAAUGUAAGUCUUAAUUUAGUAGAAAAUAAAUAUAAAACUCUUAAUAUAAGAAAUAUUUUAAGUACUAAGAGCUCGCGUCUUAAUUUAGAUAAACUAUUAAAUAAAAUAUAUAUUAGUUUUAAUGAUAAAUUAUUACCACAACGAGCUUUAACCGGUUCUAAAGAUAUAUUAAAGGGAUCUAUUGAUCGGCCGGGGAGCUUGCGUGGCGAAGCCGGGUUGUAUGAUAUGGUAUUUAAUUCUAUUAAAUAUAAAAACAUGGCAGGAAUUAGAAUGGAAGUAAAAGGAAGGUUAACGAAACGUUAUAGAGCCGAUCGUAGUGUUUAUAAACUACGUUGAAAAGGGGGUUUAAAAAAUAUCGAUUCUUCUUUUAAAGGGUUAUCUGUUAGAAAGAAUAGAGGUCAUAUUAAUCCUAAUGUUGGUUAUUCUAUUUUUGCAUCUAAACGUAGAAUAGGGGCAUUUGCUGUGAAAGGUUGAAUGGCAGGAAAAUCUUAUUCUACUUUAGCAGUAAAGUAGAAUUUUUAGGCAUACUGACGACCAAGUACUCCUGAUCCCGAACUUCGUUCGGGAUAUGGCCAGUCAGCAGAGCUAGCACACUUAUUCUUAUUUUUUUUAGUCAAUAGCAGAUAUUACACAGUAGGUUGGUAGGUAGUUUAAAUGUGGGCGUGUUAUAUAUAAUAAAAAAGUGAAUACAUAGUCUGAACCGUUUUGUAAAAAAUGGAAAUAUUAGGUGGCUUCUUUAGAAGCCACCUAAUCUAAUGAUAACAAUUUGAACAGGCUAAUUUGCGCAAGAGUGUACAAAAUGAGUGCGCGGUUUGGCACCUCGAUGUCGGCUUAACUUAUCCUCAUGGAUGCUUUGUGGUGUAGGAAUCCACAUGUAGUGUCUCUUAAAUUACCAAACUCCGGGGAAGCCCUAAAGCUUCUGGUACUAAGCUAUAUAUGAAAAUAUAUAAGUGGCUGAAGUAAUUACUCAGGUAUAGUAACAAGCCAGGAGAUGCUCGAAAGAAAAAUGGGCAAUCGCGGAUCUAAGUCAACAGUGGGUGCUGGUUUAAAUUCAGAGACAGCCAAUAAUAAAAUGAAAUUAGCAUUCCCUGUUGUAAAAGAGCAACGAGUAGAUGGUAAACUCCUAAACUUCAAUAAUAGUUGUUUAGGGUUAAGGUGUAUUCUAAAGGGUUUCGAAAGAAAUUAUCAAAUAAGAAUCCAUUCUAAGUCAAUAAAUAAAUUUUCAGGUUUAAGGGCCUUUUCUACUUCCACAAUGAAGAAUAAAGUUAGCUUGCUUUCUCCGUCAUUUAUUGUAGGGUUUGCUGAUGGAGAGGGUACUUUUUCUGUAACAUUAGUUAAAGAUAAAUCUUAUAAAUUAGGUUGACAAGUUAAACCUAAAUUUAGUAUAGGUUUACAUAAAAAAGAUUUAAGUUUACUUGAAAGUAUUCAUACUUCCUUAGGUGUAGGUGGAAUAUCUAGCCAAGGUGUUAACGGUGUACAAUUUUCGGUUAAUUCUAUUAAAGAUCGUAGAAUAUUGACAGAUUUUUUUGAUAAAUAUCCUCUUCUUACUAAGAAGAGAGCUGACUAUCAAAUUUUUAAGGCUGUUCUAGAACUAAUGGAAAAUAAAGUACAUCUUACACAAGAUGGGCUACAAAAAAUUGUAGCGUUAAAAGGAAUCUUGAAUACUGGGUUUUUAUCAAAAGAACUGAGAGCAGCUUUUUCUGAUUUAUGUUUAGUUGAAAAGGAACCUAUUCUAUUACCCGGUAAAAUAUCAGAUUUUUGGUUAGCAGGAUUUACUUCUGCCGAAGGUAGUUUUAUGGUUAGAACUUCUAACUCUUCAGGAAGAACUUUAGGUAUAAAAGUGCAAUUAGAAUUUAAUCUGACUCAACACAUGAGAGAUGAACAAUUAAUGAAAGAUAUAGCUAACUUCUUUAAUUGCGGUAGCGUGUAUCUAAAUAGAGAAACUUAUGUUUACCGAGUGGUUAGCUUAUCAAAUAUUCUGGAAAAAAUCAUUCCGUUUUAUCAAAAAUACCCUAUACAAGGUGUUAAAGCUAAAGACUUCGUAGAUUUCGUGAAAGUUGCGGAACUUAUGAAGGAGAAUAAACAUUUGACACUUGAAGGUUUAGAGGAGAUUAACUUGAUUAAGUCUGGGAUGAAUAGUUUUAGAAUAUAAUUCAACUUAAUUCUUUAUCUUUUAUAUUUACGAAAAUGGCUGUUUAAAAUUUUGAAAAUUUAUUAUUUAAUAUUGAUAAGAUAAAUCUUUUAGAUCAUAGCUUUUGAUGAUGUUUCAUAAAUUAGUACUUUCGGUUACAUCAUCAUAUAAAGUUAUGAUUGCCUUUGGCAGGAACUAUGUAGGGUACGACUGUUCGUCGAUUAAAAAGUUACAUGAGCUGGGUUAAAUACGUCGUGAGACAGUAUGGUUUCUAUCUUCUAGAGGGAAUUAGAAUAAAAUAAGGAAUAACCUAGUACGAAAGGAACGUGGGGAAUUAAGUUAUUCUGGGUAAUACCAGGGUACACUUUAUUAACCUCUGGUUUACCUGUUGUUUAUACGCCCAAUAUUAAUUUAUGUAUAGGUUUAAAACCUCUUUAUACAGGGAUGUUACUUUCACUUAGGUAGAUAAAUAGUAUAGGCACGGCAGGAAAGCUAAGUUAGUCCAAGAUAAGUGCUGAAAGCAUAUAGGCACGAAGCUUACCUUAAGAUAUUUCUUAAAUAUACGUAAUAUAACAUUACGAAUACUAUAUAGGCUUUUUUUGUAAGAAUCAAGAGAUUUUGAGGAAUGAAGUACUAAUUUUAUAAAAUACUUGUUUAGUUUAU
rnacentral:rRNA from 1 species